AAAGGCUAUGAAGCCAAUACUCAUCACAAGCACAACAUUGGGGGAUAUCUUGAGUCCAGGGGAAUCAUCAGUGUAGAAUUGGAGCAUGGUACCACCUGCUCCUCCUGCAGCUCCACCUGCUCCUCCGGUCUUCCUUCUACGUAGGUUAGCAGCUGCUGCUGCUGCAGUCCCCCUUUGUGGUCCACCUCCACCCAAAGCCAUUUCUAGUCACUGUUUCAAUGUAUUAAAUAGAAAAUCUCCAGUGGGAAGAAUCACAGAAAUCUUUUGCAAGUCCUCAAACACAGUGAACAUUUUAAAGAUGGUAAACAACAUACAAUCAAUAACGGAAUUGAUCAACUAAAGUGAACACUGUAACUAUUGCAUCCAGCCAUUUCAACAAUGCAUAACAGUAUGGCAUUAAUAUAUCUCUUCCUAUAUUUAUGCAUCACAACCUCUAAACUCUCAGAAAGGUACAUCAACUACCAGUCAAAAUUUGCAAUCAACUCAACCAUCAAAGUCAAAUUAGGCUACACGAUUGGAACAAACGGGGUAUUAUUUAAGACAUUAGUCAGACAACAUUAAACAAAAUGUGAAAUAGCAGAAUUUUGAAUUAUUCACUUGCUACAGAUCUUUAGGAAUUACAAACUAUAGAACAACAUACCUAUGUAAUUCCACAAGUGGGAGGUGGUACUACUAAACAUUAAUUAUUCAACAUUAUCAUGCAACAUUGAGACGUACAAAGAAAAGGAACAUUUACAAAAGACAUGAUUGGGCCAGGGUAAAAGCUGAUACAUAAAUGCUCAGGAGAAUCAGACUACUUGCAAAGAAAUAAGGAGACUCUUAACACUCGUUCUAUUUUAUUUCCAUUUUUUAGCCCUCCCUAAAGUGCUUCAUUUCUUUUUGCAUGUCCUUCUAGGUCAAACCGCACCACUUCUACUCAUUUCACUUGUUGAAACCUCUUCACUAAAUUGUAUGCCACUCUAAGUGAAAAGAGAUCGUGAAUCCUAAAUAUGUCCACACUUGUUCAAACCACCCUCACCACCCCAUCAAAGCAAAUAACAAGUUUUCGCUAAUAUCAAACUAAACCAUACAAUUGCAACACGAGGGUGCCUGCCCCAUUCAUCUAUUUUCCAAAACACUUAAGCUUAUGAACCUCCAUUUAGUAUAAGUUCAUUUGAAUAUAUUUUCAAGACAUACAUAUAAAAAAAAUGAUGUAUCGUUUAUUCAUCAUUCUCGCCCAUGCUAACUGCUAUACUGCACCUUCAGCCUAGAAUUGCUAACUACCUUUAUAAGACUGGUACAACUCAAAUACAGUGCAUCCAGUUUUAAGAGAAAUUCUCAUUGAAAGGGGAAACAACAGCUAUAUUCGAGCAAGUGCUUGAUAUCAGGGGCGGAUCUAAAGGAGGCUGAGCGUGUUCAUCCAAACGCCCCAACAAAAAAAUAUAACAUUUAUAUAAGGUAAAUUUCUAUCCUUUUAAGUAUAUAUACAAAACUAAAGAUUGAUCCAGGUUCUGUUCCAAGUUCAAAUCAUUGCAUUUUAAUUUUUCAAACCCUUUCAUGAGAAUCCUGGAUCCACCACUACUUGAUAUACCACCAACUACACUAACUAGCCAACGAAUCCCGAAUAGAAUCACAAAAUGUUUGAAUUUAAAUUAAACUUACAUGUAGAAUCAUUGCACAAUUUGCAAAUCAUCACCAUAAAUUCACAUCGCGGUUUCAAAAAAUUCCGAAAACUUGUUAAAUCUGAACAAAACCCUACCCGACCCGAAAGAACAAAUGUCAACGCCAUUAGAUCAUAGAACAUCAACACAAUUCAAAACUCAAAAGUUUAGAUCAUUCCGAUUUCAGAUCUCAAAACAUGCGAAAUUCACUUUUUGUUAACAAAUCAAUUACAUAAACUUGCUCCAAUAAAAAUUUAAAAAUUUCACAAGCAAAAAUCGGUACAAAUCUAAUUACAUCUGCAGAUAAGAAGACAAAUUCAUACAAAAGAUGGAAAAAAAUUCAUCAAAUAAAAAGUUAGAAGAGGAGAAAAAUACCUUAAGAAUGCUGAGAAUUAGGGAAAAUGGAUUCUCCGAUCUGGAAGGAAAAUGGAUUAGAAUUUUUUUGACCCGUUUGUUUAAUUGGAGUUGGACUUUAAAGCUUUGAUUUAUUGUACGUGGAGGAGGCCACAUAACUAUAACCAAUAAAUUCAUGACACGUAAUUUAGGACACUUCUGGCAAACUAAUGACAUUUUAUAAUAGAGAUAUAUUUACCUCUUGUUCACUUUAGUUGUCACUUAUUCUUAAAAUAUAUAUUUUCAUUUUUACUUGUUACUUUUGAUAAGAAAAGACAAUAAUUUUUUCAUAUUUUAUCCUCAUUAUUAAAUAAUUAUUUUCUAAAUUAUUUUUAAGACAUCAUUUAAUAAGAAAUAGUUUGAUAAAAAUUAAUAUAUCAAUAAUUAUUUUUUUAAUGACUGUGUCAAAUCAAAUUGUGACAAGUAAAAGUGAACGAAUAGAGUAUUCUAUAAAAAAUUCCUAAAAAAUCAAUAUCCAUUUGUAUUGUAAACAAAUUUUGAAUUAUAUAAUUUAGAAAAUGUUCCAUUAUUGAUAACCAUAAACUCAUUUAUCUAUAUAGAUAAUAUAAAUAAGAGAUGAGUAGGAUAUAUAUAUAUAUAGUUAAUGCAAUAAUAUUAAAUGAUAAUAAUAAAAAAGAUAGUGUUUGAUUUUGUAAUAAAUUCAUAAAAUUAUUAUUCUAUUUAUAAUGUUAAAAUGAACCUAAACAAAAAUCUAUAAGUACAUAAAGUAAGAAACAAAAUAUGAUAUAUGAUACAAGAAGAUAUUGUAGAGAUGAAAAAUUAAAAUGUUAAAGGAUAAAAUAGAUAUUGUAUGAAGGGGGGUCUAUUUUUUUUAUAUUUUUUUUACCCUUCCUAGGAGCUUCCACCCCUUAUGCUCCCUUGGUGACUCGAAUUCGCAACCAUCGGGUUGGAAGUGAGGGUGCUUACCAUCCGAGUAACUCUCUCUCGUCAGGGGGAUCUAUUAUUCAAAGUUAAGAUGGAAAUUUGUUUUCCAACAAAGUUAGCGGUGUAAAUAAUUUUCACCCAAAAUAAUAGUGAUAAUUGCGAUAAUGAAGGGUUCCGAUGUUGUAGUGAUUAUUGUGGUGAUGAUAAUUGAUAGUGAUGGCUAUGAAGCUGAAUUAUAAGGCUUAAGUCAUCUACGUCCCCUUAAAGUUGUCUGCAUAAUUCACUUGGACACCACAACUAGGACUCGUACAUAUGGAACACCUAAAUUGUUCAAAACAUAUACCUAUUAAACACAAAACGUUGAUGUGGCGAAAUAAAUGUAACUCAUUGUUGUUGAGCGCGUGAAUGGAUUUUUUUUUUAAUUUUUAAAAAUAAAUUAGUGCUUAUUUUCUUGACACUUGGCAUGUAUUAAUUAAAUAACUAAAAACUCAUUUAAUUAAACAUUUAUCUCUUUAUUUAUAAUAGAAAAUAACUUCACACCCAUGUACGCGUACUCUUUUUCUUCUUCAACCCACCAUUUUAAAGACUUUAAAUUCUCUGCCUUUUGUUUUGUUCUUUUUUUUUUUCAUUUUUCGUUAUAAACAAACUAAUUGAAUUUGCAAGAAGAAGAAAAAAAAUCGGACCAUUGGAGUUAAAAAAGUUAGCCGACAUUCAUGCAUCUCCAUUGAAAUCAUGCAACCAUCACGAUUCAUUAAACUUAUUAAAAAUGAUGUAGAAAAUUGAUAUUCUUUUGAUUUCUCUUCAUCGUCGAUUUUGAAAUAAUUUAUCGGCAUUGAUUAUUUUCACAAAAAAUUCAAUAAUCACAGGAAGAAUAGAAUACAAUGGGUGAUGGGGAAGAAAAAAAAAGCAAAAGAUUAGGUGGGUGUAUUAGGGCUGGGGUGGGAGAUAUUUUCUUUUUUGUUAUCGUUGAGGAGUCGAUGGUGGAGUGACAGGGAAGAAGAAAGGGCAAUGGGUUAGGUGGGGCAAUUUUUUUUUCUUUUUUUAUUCUUUUUUUUUCAAUUUAAUUUUUCCAGAUUAUUAAAGGCUGAAAAUAUUUUUCAUUUUUCAAAAUUAAAAAUUUGGACCCAUGUGCCACGUGUCGUAGUUCUAAUCGUGAUUUUUUCAAGAAAAUGUAUGUGAAUUACACGCACAAUAUUUUUAAGGCUAGUUGUCAUUUUAUGUUCAAUAGAUAAAUAUUACUCCCUCUGUCCCAAUUUAUAUGACUUACUUUCCUUUUUAGUCAGUCCCAAAAAGAAUGACACAUUUCUAUUUUAAGUAACAAUUUGCCUAUAAAAUGUCUUUUUUACCCUUAAUGAAAUGAUUUAUAACCACACAAAUUUCUAUCAUUCAUUUUGGACCACAAGUUUUAAAAGUCUUUCCAUUUUUCUUAAAGUUUGUGCCAAAUCAAAGUACAUCAUAUAAAAUGGGACGGAGGGAGUAGUUAAUAUUAAAGUGUCUAAUACGUAAGAGUCCUAGUUGAGGUAUCUAAGUGAAUUAUGCGAACAACUUUAAGGAGCCGUGACUUAGCUUAUUCGAACGUUGUGAACUCAUUCCUGCUUUUGCAAUACCAGCGCAUCUUGUGCCACAGAAUCGGUUGUGCUCUGCCUGAAUUAUAAUGAUGGGAGGGUGAUGGUGGUUGUGAUGACAGAGAUGAUGAAAAUUAUCCAUACAAAAAAUACUUUUUAAUGAUAUUAAUGGUGGUAAAGACCAAAGAGGAAGCAUCAUGCAGCGAGCAAAGCAAAAACAUCUCCGCUUAAGUUACAAUUCCAUUCACAGUCUAAGAAACUCAUAACUAGAAAACUUUUCUAUAAACUUCAUUGCAUAGACAAACAAACAAGAAAACAAAGCUACAAUGUCAGUUUUUCCUUCAAGGAAGAAAGCUGUUGCCCAAAAAAAAUUUCCCAACUCAGCAAUGAGAUGUCUCUAGCCUUCUCUGCGGACAAAGUAGAGCUUACCCAUGACGUGAAGGAUUGCGACAAAAGCUAUGAAGCCAAUACUCAUUACAAGCACAACAUUGGGGGAUAUCUUGAGUCCGGGGGAAUCAUCAGUGUAGAAUUGGAGCAUGGUACCACCUGCUCCUCCUGCAGCCCCACCUGCUCCUCCGGUCUUCCUUCGACGUAGGUUAGCAGCUGCUGCUGCUGCAGUCCCCCUUUGCGGUCCACCUCCACCCAAAGCCAUUUCUAGUCACU
rnacentral:lncRNA from 1 species